AAUCAACGCUGGCGGCGUGCCUAACACAUGCAAGUCGAACGCGAAAGCCCGCAAGGGUAAGUAGAGUGGCGCACGGGUGAGUAACACGUGGACAACCUGCCUUCGAGUGGGGAAUAACCUUCCGAAAGGAGGGCUAAUACCGCAUAACACCUCGGGACACAAGUUUCUGGGGUUGAAAAGAGCAAUUUGCUCGAAGAGGGGUCCGCGCCUGAUUAGCUAGUUGGUGAGGUAACGGCUCACCAAGGCUUCGAUCAGUAGCCGUCCUGAGAGGGAGCACGGCCACACUGGAACUGAGACACGGUCCAGACUCCUACGGGAGGCAGCAGUGGGGAAUUUUUGGCAAUGGGCGAAAGCCUGACCAAGCAACGCCGCGUGGGUGAUGAAGUAUCUUGGUACGU
rnacentral:rRNA from 1 species